rnacentral:rRNA from 1 species
AUUGAACGCUGGCGGCAUGCUUUACACAUGCAAGUCGAACGGCAGCGAGGAGAAGCUUGCUUCUCUGUCGGCGAGUGGCGAACGGGUGAGUAUAGCAUCGGAACGUGCCAAGUAGUGGGGGAUAACCAAACGAAAGUUUGGCUAAUACCGCGUAAGCUCUAAGGAGGAAAGUAGGGGACCUAAAUAAGGCCUUACGCUAUUUGAUCGUCCGAUGUCGGAUUAGCUAGUUGGUGGGGUAAUGGCUCACCAAGGCAAUGAUCCGUAGCGGGUCUGAGAGGACGAUCCGCCACACUGGGACUGAGACACGGCCCAGACUCCUACGGGAGGCAGCAGUGGGGAAUUUUGGACAAUGGGGGAAACCCUGAUCCAGCCAUGCCGCGUGUAUGAAGAAGGCCUUAGGGUUGUAAAGUACUUUUGUUAGGGAAGAAAAGCUAGUUUUUAAUAAAAAUUAGUGAUGACGGUACCUAAAGAAUAAGCACCGGCUAACUACGUG